rnacentral:rRNA from 1 species
GCUAACGCGUUAAGUCGACCGCCUGGGGAGUACGGCCGCAAGGUUAAAACUCAAAUGAAUUGACGGGGGCCCGCACAAGCGGUGGAGCAUGUGGUUUAAUUCGAUGCAACGCGAAGAACCUUACCUGGUCUUGACAUCCACGGAAGUUUUCAGAGAUGAGAAUGUGCCUUCGGGAACCGUGAGACAGGUGCUGCAUGGCUGUCGUCAGCUCGUGUUGUGAAAUGUUGGGUUAAGUCCCGCAACGAGCGCAACCCUUAUCCUUUGUUGCCAGCGGUCCGGCCGGGAACUCAAAGGAGACUGCCAGUGAUAAACUGGAGGAAGGUGGGGAUGACGUCAAGUCAUCAUGGCCCUUACGACCAGGGCUACACACGUGCUACAAUGGCGCAUACAAAGAGAAGCGACCUCGCGAGAGCAAGCGGACCUCAUAAAGUGCGUCGUAGUCCGGAUUGGAGUCUGCAACUCGACUCCAUGAAGUCGGAAUCGCUAGUAAUCGUGGAUCAGAAUGCCACGGUGAAUACGUUCCCG